GCUAAGAGUGGUGAAGGACAUUUCCAAUUUGUGGCACUGUGGUGGCAAGACAGGCUUGGAGAAGACCUGAAAGAAGAAGAGCCCUGCUGUAGAAUUGGACCCUUAAAACCAAUUAAUUUCUUUGAAGGAAAGUCAGCCGUAUCCAAAAAGUGUCAAGAAACAGAGAAACGAUCUAUGGUCAUUAAAACCCAGAGGCACUAGGUACCAGAACCCAUGCUUUGCUACUGUGUGACCCAGAAUGUUUACAGCAAUACGAAGUAACAUCAGAAUGAAGUUUUCAAUAACCUUAUUCUGACUCCUUAUGAAGACUUUCCAGAAGUCCUCAG